rnacentral:rRNA from 1 species
UGAGCAAUCUGCCCUUCUCUUUGGAAUAAGCGUGGGAAACCGCGUCUAAUGCCGAAUACGACCUCCUUUCGCAUGAUCGGAGGUGGAAAGCUCCGGCGGAGAAGGAUGAGCUCGCGGCCUAUCAGCUAGUUGGUGUGGGUAAUGGCCCACCAAGGCGACGACGGGUAGCCGGCCUGAGAGGGUGACCGGCCACACUGGGACUGAGACACGGCCCAGACCUCCGUACGGGAGG